UGCAGCUUGUAUUUCUCCAGCAACUUUUCUGUCACAUCAGGCCCGAAGUAACAGCCUCCUCCUCGGACAGUGUUGGUCUUGCAGCCCUCUUGGGCCAUGGGAUCGCUCCACAGAAUAUCUACAACCUAGGAAGACCAAGGGUUACACACGGUUCUCCCCGUGAGAUAACUGGCUCUCCUGCGGCUUGCUGUCUCUAUCUCCAGAUGGAAACACAGCUGAACAGAAGGAUGCGACCACAAUGACUGGAAGGAACUCAAGCAGCCAUCUUGGAUCAUGAUGCACUGUGGCAGGCUAGCAAGAAUUCCAAGUUCCUAAGACUGCGAUGUUGCUACAGACCUUCGUUUACACAAGAGAUAAAUAUUUAACAGAGACCUUUGGAACUUUCCGUCACCUCAGCCAAAGAUGUUUGCAGGGUGAGGAAGACAUAUCCGCUGGACCAGUUCACAACCUGUCGUGUGCAUCUGUCUCAGCUGGAGUGUGGCUUCUGUGCUCAUGGAUGCUGCUCAGCAAAUGGAGAAGACUGGCUGCUGGGUUCUCCACGGGAGACGUGUGUAUGGAUGGAAAUAAUAACGCUAUAAGCCUUGGAAUUUGCUCGAGCACCAAGGAAUAAAAUGUCUGCUCACACAAAA